rnacentral:rRNA from 1 species
GAUGAACGCUGGCGGCGUGCCUAAUACAUGCAAGUCGAGCGAAUGGAUUAAGAGCUUGCUCUUAUGAAGUUAGCGGCGGACGGGUGAGUAACACGUGGGUAACCUGCCCAUAAGACUGGGAUAACUCCGGGAAACCGGGGCUAAUACCGGAUAACAUUUUGAACCGCAUGGCUCGAAAUUGAAAGGCGGCUUCGGCUGUCACUUAUGGAUGGACCCGCGUCGCAUUAGCUAGUUGGUGAGGUAACGGCUCACCAAGGCAACGAUGCGCAGCCGACCUGGGAGGGUGAUCGGCCACACUGGGACUGAGACACGGCCCAGACUCCUACGGGAGGCAGCAGUAGGGAAUCUUCCGCAAUGGACGAAAGUCUGACGGAGCAACGCCGCGUGAGUGAUGAAGGCUUUCGGGUCGUAAAACUCUGUUGUUAGGGAAGAACAAGUGCUUGUUGAAUAAGCUGGCACCUUGACGGUACCUAACCAGAAAGCCACGGCUAACUACGUGCCAGCCGCCGCCGUAA